GACGUAGGGUGCGAGCGUUGUCCGGAUUUAUUGGGCGUAAAGAGCUCGUAGGCGGCUCGUCGCGUCGUCCGUGAAAACCCGCGGCUUAACCGCGGGCUUGCGGUUGAUACGGGCGGGCUAGAGUUCGGUAGGGGAGACUGGAAUUCCUGGUGUAGCGGGUGAAAAUGCGCAGAUAUCAGGAGGAACACCGAUGGCGAAGGCAGGUCUCUGGGCCGAUACUGACGUGAGGAGCGAAAGCGUGGGGAGCGAACAGG
rnacentral:rRNA from 1 species